rnacentral:rRNA from 1 species
AACAAACGCUGGCGGCGUGCCUAACACAUGCAAGUCGAACGCGAAAAUCGGCUUCGGCCGAUGAGUAAAGUGGCGCACGGGUGAGUAACGCGUGGAUAAUCUACCCUUCAGUUGGGAAUAACUUAUCGAAAGGUGAGCUAAUACCGAAUAAAACUGCCUGACCACGGUCGGGUAGUCAAAGAUAGCCUCUGCUUGCAAGCUUUCGCUGAAUGAUGAGUCCGCGUACCAUUAGCUAGUUGGUGGGGUAAUGGCCUACCAAGGCGACGAUGGUUAGCUGGUCUGAGAGGAUGAUCAGCCACACUGGAACUGAGACACGGUCCAGACUCCUACGGGAGGCAGCAGUGAGGAAUCUUGCGCAAUGGGGAAACCCUGACGCAGCAACGCCGCGUGAGUGAGGAAGGUCUUCGGGAUCGUAAAGCUCUGUCGGGUGGAAAGAAUGUAUGGGGUUAAUAGCCUUCAUACUUGACGGUACACCAAAGGAGCACGGCUAACUCCG